UGUAGGCUCUGUCAUGCAACAUAAUCAAUAAUUCGGUGAUUUCUCCACCUUUUAACAGUUCUGUGCUAUCUUUGUUUUUAUCGUUGUAAACUCCCAUUGCCCUGAAAGGACAGAGUAAAUAACUGCAGAAUCAUUGUUUCCUUUGCUACAGGGAAACAGUAUUUGAAAUUUAUUGGUGAAAAUUCUUCAGAUAUUUUAGCAGUGCACUUACUCCUAGAUUCAGAGAAAAUUUGCUCAAUUCAGGAGCCAAAUGGUUUCCAAACCAUCUUCUUAAAGUCUGGGAAGAAAUCUUGAAAAGCCUUUAUGGGGUGACUCCUAUCUCACCUGUAAAAGAGCCCAAAACCAAGGCCACGCCAUAUUAAACAAUCAGAAGUCUCUCUCUGGUGGAGAGAAAUGACAUUUACUGAGACUUGUCUAAGGGAUGCAGUUAAAAAGGACCAAACCAGAAGUUUUAAUUCUGAAAACUUUAGGCUGAAAUGAGUUUUUUAAAUCUCUAUAAUGUUACAUGUAGGAAAUCAACAAAAUAACUACAUCUAAUUAUUUACUUUAGGGACAUUUGGUUGCCAUUUAAAGCAGAAAGAGUUUAGAAAUGCUCAUAAUCUAUGGAAAGGAUUCAUCUAGGAUUUUAUAUGUCUGUUCUCAAGCAAUCAGCUCUUUAAAGUCCUCUCCAACACUUCAAGAGACUUUCUUUUCUCAUCCCCAAAACACAUCUUUCUUCAGCCGCUGUCCCUUUAGUGUCUUCAAAGCACCACUCUCUCCUUUUCUAACUCCGUAACACUCAAGUUAUGUUCUCACUGUCCCAAAAAUCUGGUUUGCCCAGAAUCCAUCAGAAUAUGCUUGAAAAGCUACUAGAAGCACAGACAGAGCAUAGUAUUCACCAGCCACCAAAAGACAGCCUCCCUCAGGAGAUGAGAAAGGAGACGCCUCUUCUAUCUAGGAAGCCUGCUAGGUUUGGAAAGCAGGUGGGAAGAAUUGGAAGAUCCUGCUCUGACGUCAUACACCCCAUCCCCAUGCCAGGUCCUGGCUCCUCAUCUGUGUUUCCUUUGAUGAAGCUUUCCAUGAGCUGAUGAAUCAGCAGAAAGGAGACUGGCUUCCUGGGUAGCCUACACAGUUCCUGCUCUCAUCAGUGCUGGCCAGCUUCUGUGGUUAACCUCGCCCUUCCGGACUGGCACCAGAAGACACCCAUGGCUCACUACAGAGUGUGGUGGUUGGUGCAGAGCCCGUGCUGCUGUUAGAUGGUCAGUACCACUCUCUGGUGCCCACGUUAGGAAGAGAGGCCCAGCUCAGGAGAGCUGCUGUACACAGAUGGAAGAAGAGGAGGGGAAGCGAUGAGCUGCAAACUAUUGAUCUCACCAUAGCAUCUAUACCGUCUUACCUGCUCUUGCUUUACAGACAUGACCAGAUGGCCUCCAGAGGUCCCAGAGGUUGGACCAGAUGAUCUUCAGAGGCACCUUCCAAGCUCAGCCACUCAGUGACCCAGGGAGGGAGCACAGCCAAGAGGAACUGCCACGAGGAAUCCUCACUCAUUAAUAUCUCUGGCCACAUCAGGAAUGUCCCAUUGCCCCUGGCCCCAGGGUUACAGUAGUAUCAGGUGCUUCCAGUCCUAGGUCAUCUUCCAUGAUAGCCAGGAGCAGUGUCUGGUUAUGGAGGGAAUAAGUAGGCUACCUGGUUUGUACAGCUGGUUGCUACUCUGGCAGAUUUGAUGAUGUGUAUAGAUACAGGCUUUUGAGCUGUGUGCUGUGGGUGUCUUGCCUGGAGACAAAAAGGUGGUUUCCAAAUUGUGGAAAACCACUGGGGUGAAAAAGCUAGAGGGGGAGUUGGUGGGAUAUGUGACACGAUGUAACAAAUACUGUAGACCCCUGACAGAGAGAGUGGCGAAGUGUUGUUUGGGCACUCUGAGGGGGUUGAGAAGCUUCCCUCAGCUUGGUGGUAGACUUCUUGUGUUUCUGCUAAACCCUACGUAGUGUGUGUCCCCUGACUCUAUCCUUAUGUCACCUUUAGCUGAUCAAAAAACCCUCCCAAAGUCCCAAUUCCUGUAUCUCUG
rnacentral:lncRNA from 1 species